rnacentral:rRNA from 1 species
ACGGAGGGAGCUAGCGUUGUUCGGAAUUACUGGGCGUAAAGGGCGCGUAGGCGGUCGGGUAAGUCGAGUGUGAAAUUCCGGGGCUCAACCCCGCGAACUGCAUUCGAUACUGCUCGACUAGAGAGAGGUAGGGGCGAGUGGAAUUCCCGGUGUAGCGGUGGAAUGCGUAGAUAUCGGGAAGAACACCGGUGGCGAAGGCGGCUCGCUGGGCCUUUUCUGACGCUGAAGCGCGAAAGCGUGGGGAGCAAACAGG